UACGGGGGGGGCAAGCGUUGUUCGGAAUUACUGGGCGUAAAGGGCUCGUAGGCGGCCAACUAAGUCAGACGUGAAAUCCCUCGGCUUAACCGGGGAACUGCGUCUGAUACUGGAUGGCUUGAGUUCGGGAGAGGGAUGCGGAAUUCCAGGUGUAGCGGUGAAAUGCGUAGAUAUCUGGAGGAACACCGGUGGCGAAGGCGGUCUGCUGGGCAGUAGCUGACACUGAGGCGCGACAGCGUGGGGAGCAAACAGG
rnacentral:rRNA from 1 species